AUCAUGGCUCAGAUUGAACGCUGGCGGCAGGCCUAACACAUGCAAGUCGAGCGGUAAAGAGAAGCUUGCUUCUCUUGAGAGCGGCGGACGGGUGAGUAAUGCCUAGGAAUCUGCCUGGUGGUGGGGGAUAACGUUCGGAAACGGACGCUAAUACCGCAUACGUCCUACGGGAGAAAGCGGGGGAUCUUCGGACCUCGCGCCAUUAGAUGAGCCUAGGUCGGAUUAGCUAGUUGGUGAGGUAAUGGCUCACCAAGGCGACGAUCCGUAACUGGUCUGAGAGGAUGAUCAGUCACACUGGAACUGAGACACGGUCCAGACUCCUACGGGAGGCAGCAGUGGGGAAUAUUGGACAAUGGGCGAAAGCCUGAUCCAGCCAUGCCGCGUGCAGGAUGAAGGCCUUCGGGUUGUAAACUGCUUUUGUACGGAACGAAAAGACUCUGGUUAAUACCUGGGGUCCAUGACGGUACCGUAAGAAUAAGCACCGGCUAACUACGCG
rnacentral:rRNA from 1 species